AAUGGGGGCAACCCUGAUCCAGCCAUGCCGCGUGAGUGAAGACGGCCCUAGGGUUGUAAAGCUCUUUCAAUUGCGAAGAUAAUGACGGUAACAAUAGAAGAAGCUCCGGCUAAAUUCGUGCCAGCAGCCGCGGUAAUACGAAUGGAGCGAGCGUUGUUCGGAAUCACUGGGCUUAAAGCGUAUGUAGGCGGACUUACAAGUCAGGAGUGAAAUCCCAGAGCUCAACUCUGGAACUGCUCUUGAAACUGUAAGUCUAGAAUACUGGAGAGGUUGGGAGAAUUCCGAGUGUAGAGGUGAAAUUCGCAGAUAUUCGGAGGAAUACCAGUGGCGUAGGCGCCCAACUGGACAGUUAUUGACGCUCAGAUACGAAAGCGUGGGGAGCAAACAGGAUU
rnacentral:rRNA from 1 species